AGAGAACUCGGGAGAAGGAACUCGGCAAAUUGGUACCGUAACUUCGGGAUAAGGUACGCCCUUGUAGCUUGACUGGCCUGCGCCAGGAGUGUGAAGGGGUUGCAAUAAACUGGUGGCUGCGACUGUUUAAUAAAAACACAGCACUCUGCAAACACGAAAGUGGACGUAUAGGGUGUGUCGCCUGCCCGGUGCCGGAAGAUUAAAUGAUGGGGUGCAAGCUCUUGAUUGAAGUCCCGGUAAACGGCGUGCGUAACUAUAACGGUCCUAAGCAAGCGAAAUUCCUUGUCGGGUAAGUU
rnacentral:rRNA from 1 species